rfam:Ailuropoda melanoleuca scaffold1624_4, whole genome shotgun sequence.
ACCUGACUUGCUCAGUCAGUAGAACAUGUGACUUUUGAUGUCAGAGUCAUGAGUUCAAGUCUCAUGUUGGGCA